rnacentral:rRNA from 1 species
GUAGUCAUAUGCUUGUCUCAAAGAUUAAGCCAUGCAUGUCUAAGUAUAAGCAAUUAUACAGCGAAACUGCGAAUGGCUCAUUAUAUAAGUUAUCGUUUAUUUGAUAGUACCUUACUACUUGGAUAACCGUGGUAAUUCUAGAGCUAAUACAUGCUAAAAAUCCCGACUUCGGAAGGGAUGUAUUUAUUAGAUUAAAAACCAAUGCCCUCUGGGCUCUCUGGUGAUUCAUGAUAACUUCUCGAAUCGCAUGGCCUUGCGCCGGCGAUGGUUCAUUCAAAUUUCUUCCCUAUCAACUUUCGAUGUUUGGGUAGUGGCCAAACAUGGUUGCAACGGGUAACGGAGGGUUAGGGCUCGACCCCGGAGAAGGAGCCUGAGAAACGGCUACUACAUCCAAGGAAGGCAGCAGGCGCGCAAAUUACCCAAUCCCGACACGGGGAGGUAGUGACAAUAAAUACUGAUACAGGGCUCUUUUGGGUCUUGUAAUUGGAAUGAGUACAAUUUAAAUCCCUUAACGAGGAACAAUUGGAGGGCAAGUCUGGUGCCAGCAGCCGCGGUAAUUCCAGCUCCAAUAGCGUAUAUUAAAGUUGUUGUGGUUAAAAAGCUCGUAGUUGAACCUUGGGCCUGGCUGGCCGGUCCGCCUCACCGCGUGUACUGGUCCGGCCGGGCCUUUCCCUCUGUGGAACCCCAUGCCCUUCACUGGGUGUGGCGGGGAAACAGGACUUUUACUUUGAAAAAAUUAGAGUGCUCCAGGCAGGCCUAUGCUCGAAUACAUUAGCAUGGAAUAAUGAAAUAGGACGUGCGGUUCUAUUUUGUUGGUUUCUAGGACCGCCGUAAUGAUUAAUAGGGACAGUCGGGGGCAUCAGUAUUCAAUUGUCAGAGGUGAAAUUCUUGGAUUUAUUGAAGACUAACUACUGCGAAAGCAUUUGCCAAGGAUGUUUUCAUUAAUCAGGAACGAAAGUUAGGGGAUCGAAGACGAUCAGAUACCGUCGUAGUCUUAACCAUAAACUAUGCCGACUAGGGAUCGGACGAUGUUAUUUUUUGACUCGUUCGGCACCUUACGAGAAAUCAAAGUGCUUGGGCUCCAGGGGGAGUAUGGUCGCAAGGCUGAAACUUAAAGAAAUUGACGGAAGGGCACCACCAGGGGUGGAGCCUGCGGCUUAAUUUGACUCAACACGGGGAAACUCACCAGGUCCAGACACAAUGAGGAUUGACAGAUUGAGAGCUCUUUCUUGAUUUUGUGGGUGGUGGUGCAUGGCCGUUCUUAGUUGGUGGAGUGAUUUGUCUGCUUAAUUGCGAUAACGAACGAGACCUUAACCUGCUAAAUAGCCCGUAUUGCUUUGGCAGUACGCUGGCUUCUUAGAGGGACUAUCGGCUCAAGCCGAUGGAAGUUUGAGGCAAUAACAGGUUGACCAUUACAGGCCUGUAACAGUGGGCCUCAUUAAAGAUUACUGCUAGUCCAGCGACUUUACCUCCGCGGGGAAGCCCCCAUUAUCGGGCGGAGGGGGCCCUGAGAAAGGGCCCUGUCGCGGGCGACACCACCUGGAACAGGGAACGCCUGAACCCUUCAUUGGGGGACGGCCGAUCCUGUGGCGAGCCUGGGARUUGCGCCAGGCCGUUGCAACGCGCGCAAAGGGGUGGGCCUCCACUGGAGGCUUAAGGUACGUGCUAAUUCCGUGGGAAACCACGCCCCCGUAACUAGGCCCGAUAAGCCGAAGUGCGGGGGGGCUACGGGCGCCACGGCGCCUGUAGCUGGGGCUUUUACAACAAGGGGGUGAUUUCAGUUCACUGAAGUCACCGCCGAGUAUAUUGUAAAGCCAUCUGCUGUGAUGCCCUUAGAUGUUCUGGGCCGCACGCGCGCUACACUGACGGAGCCAGCGAGUACUCCCUUGGCCGGAAGGCCCGGGUAAUCUUGUUAAACUCCGUCGUGCUGGGGAUAGAGCAUUCAAUUAUUUCUUCAACGAGGAAUCCCUA